GAUGAACGCUAGCGGCAGGCCUAACACAUGCAAGUCGAGGGGCAUCACGAGGUAGCAAUACUUUGGUGGCGACCGGCGCACGGGUGAGUAACGCGUAUGCAACCUACCCUUAACAGGGGGAUAGCCCGGAGAAAUUCGGAUUAAUACCCCAUAAAAUCAUAGGAUCGCAUGGUCUAAUGAUUAAAAUUACGAUGGUUAAGGAUGGGCAUGCGUGACAUUAGUUAGUUGGUGAGGUAACGGCUCACCAAGACUACGAUGUCUAGGGGGCCUGAGAGGGUAAUCCCCCACACUGGUACUGAGACACGGACCAGACUCCUACGGGAGGCAG
rnacentral:rRNA from 1 species